rfam:Picea glauca, whole genome shotgun sequence.
GAACCGAGACAUGGUGGUGGACGACAAUGUUAGGAAAUCUGGAGAUGUCAUCGGGGGCCUGGGAAGAGUUAUCUUUUCUUUUUAACGACUUUCCCACCUUGAAAUCGGUUCAAUCAGAGAUAGGGUCCAACAUCUGGAAGAGAACCACACGUCUUGCGAUGUUUGGUGCCCCCUCAAUGACCAUUUAAAAUAUGGAGAACCGAGUACCAUCCAUGCCCGAUCGUACU